GACGAACGCUGGCGGCGUGCCUAACACAUGCAAGUCGAACGGGGGUGUGAUUUCGGUUGCACCCUAGUGGCGGACGGGUGAGUAACGCGUGAGCAACCUGACUCUUUGAGGGGGAUAACACUCGGAAACGAGUGCUAAUACCGCAUAAGACCACGACCCGGCAUCGGGAUGAGGUCAAAGGAGCAAUCCGCAGAGAGAGGGGCUCGCGUCCCAUUAGAUAGAUGGCGGGGUAACGGCCCACCAUGUCGACGAUGGGUAGCCGAGCUGAGAGGCUGAUCGGCCACACUGGAACUGAGAGACGGGCCCUACUCCUACGGGAGGCAGCAGUGGGGGAUUUUGGACAAUGGGCGAAAGCCUGAUCCAGCGACGCCGCGUGGAGGACGAAGCCCUUCGGGGUGUAAACUCCUUUUCUCAGGGAAAAAGGAUGAUGGUACCUGAGGAAUAAGCCCCGGCUAACUACGUG
rnacentral:rRNA from 1 species